ensembl:lncRNA
GAAUAAGUCCUUCAGUGGAGAGUGAAAAGGAGUCUGAGUGUGUGUGAACCUUUUUUUUCUCACUUCUCAGCUGAUCAGUAGAUGAGCCCAACACAUCAGAUAGCAGUUUUGCAGGGGAUCAAGACUGGACAUUUCUGGGAUUCUGAGAGGGAAUGCAUGGAACCCAUUCUCUACGAGAACUCACUUUGUCAGCAUCUUUUGAGGAAGAUUUUUCUGUAUGAGUAAUCCACCCUGUUCAUCUCUUAGCAGCUAAGUACCUAAAAAGGUAGUAUUAUUAAGUAUUUGACAUGUUAAGAAUUACGGUUGUUACAAUAUGCAAGUUGUUUUCGGUUUUGCCUUCAGGCUCCAAGUGGAACUGAGUCACCAUACAUUAAAGCGAUUUUAUCUAUAGGAACUGUUUCAUCAGGGAAA